rnacentral:rRNA from 1 species
GGGAAAACUUUUUUUAAUUUAAGAAAAUGAAUUUAACUUUUUAGUAAGAAGACUAAAAUGAAUCUUUUAGACAAGAAGACCCUAUAAAACUUUAUAUUUUUAAAUUUUUAGGAGAAGUAAAAAAUAUUGCACUGGGGCGGUGAAGAAAAGGUCUUUCUUUAAAUAAGAAAACUUAGCUGUUUGAAUAUCUUGAAGUUCUGAAAUAAGAAUAAGUUACUUUAGGGAUAACAGCUUAAUUUACUUUUAAAGAUCAAAUUGACAAGUAAGU